rnacentral:tRNA from 1 species
AGAAACUUAGGUUAAAUAAUAAACCAAGAGCCUUCAAAGCCCUAAAUAUGGGGCAACCCCCUAGUUUCUG